CCUGUCGAAUGGAAAUAAUUCUUGGUUUUGCUCGGAUUUUGGAAAGAUUCAAUAUGAAUAAAAAAUCUAGUAUGAUAAACAGCAUUCAUUCACUUGAAGUAAGAAUAGUACCAGAAAAUAGUCUCAGAACUUCAAUCUCAACUCAUACGGUCGUGGAUGUUAAAUUGCAUGGACAAUUUUGUUUAAUCCCUUCACCUUAGCUAUUUAUUCAUAGGGCAGAACAAGUACCUAAAAAUAGGAAUGCAUGAAGAAAUUGUGCUGGGAGCAGAGACUUAUUAAAAGAGUAACCUGGAUGAGCUCCUACAAUGUGGAAGAUCUUCACUCCACACCAGGAAUACCAUGAGGAAUAGUCUGCAUCCUUGCUCUCAGGAUACAGAAGAGCUAUCAGCUCUUAGAAGCACAGCAAAGUGAAGGGCCUGGUCAGCUAGUCUUUCCUUUGUGAAAGACUCAUAAGCAUAUUCUGAGUACAGAAAACACUCUGCACUGUUGGAGUGGACAGAGCUGGCUGUGAAUCCUGGCAGCUGUAACUUCUCUUGGGAAGAUUACUUAACUCCUCUGAAAUCUCACCAGCAAAUGCAGUUAAGAACUCCUUCUCACUCUGGUCUUAUGGGGACCAAUGGAUAACACAGUGAAACAUUAGCAAAGUACCUACUGAGAAAUGGGAACACAAGAAAUACAGCUAUAGUUGUUAGUGUCUUGGUUACUAAUCUCUUGGUCACUAGAGGAUUAUCAAUCAAUGAAACCAUUUAGCUUCGUUUUUCUUAGUGUGUUAUUCAUGCAGUAUGACUGCUUCUCUCAUCAACAGCCCACACAUUUCAAAAAAUCAGAUCUGCAUUAAUAUCUUUGGAGCUAAUUCUAAAUUAGAGAACCAGAUUUUAGAAAGUUAAUAUGCCUCCUUUCCUUUGUGAAAGACUCAUAAGAAUAUUCUGAGUACAUUCUGAAUUUGUCAGUAUCCUAAAAAGGUUAACUUUAGUUUCUUUGCCUUUACUUCUGUGGCAUUGUUCUUAUGACCCCUCCCCAGUGUUAUUUUAUAACACAUUAUAUUUCUGCUGUGUGGAUUGCUGUCAUGUUAUUAGUACAUUUCCUAAGAGAAUGCUGCAGUAUUGCUCAUAAAUGGGCUAGUCACUCACUUCUGUUCAUCCAGCUUUGAAAGUUCCCCAGGUUUGUUCAUUCAUCCAUUCAUGCAACAAAUAUUUGUGGAAUUCCUCCCAUGAAAAGCCAUUAUGUAAAAUUGUUCUAAUAACUUCACAAAUCAUUAAAAAAUUAUUUUGCUUGCCUGCUGGGGUGAAAACAUAAAGGUGGAGGUGGAUGAAGCCAAAGGCUUCGGCACUAGAGAAAGCCACAGUCAAAUCUCAGUUAUCUCACUUUAAUUAUGUGACUCUGGGAAGUAACUUCAGAUCUCUGAGCUCCAUCAUUUUUGUUUUAAUCUGUGGAUUCUCCUUCAUUUAUUCAACAAACAUAUCCACUUUGUAUUAGCAAUGUCAUCCUGUCAUUUACUCAGGUGCUCUUAUUAAAUUUUUACCAGGUGUGGUGGUUCGUGCCUAUAAUGCUAGAACUCUAGAGGCUGAGCCAAGAGCAUUGCCACCAAUUUGAGGCCAGCCUCGGCUACAUAGUGAGUUCAAGACCAGCAUGAAAUAUAUAAGGAGAUACUGUCUCAAAGAAAAAUUCCAUCCCAACACUCUUAGGCUUCUGGACUAUAGUUCCUGUUCUCCAGCACUUCUAAUUUAUAUAUUCAUUCAGCAAACUUCGAGUGUUUGAUAAGGGCCAAUCAUGCUAGGAGGCACUGGGCAUUAAGAAAAAAUAGGAUAAAGACUACUUGCUAUCCCAGGGCUUCCAACCUAGGAUAAAGACUGCUUGCUAUCCCUUUUCUCCUUGCUGAGACAUAAUACCCAAUGCCCACAGUUAAGGGAGGAAAGG